rnacentral:misc_RNA from 1 species
UAGGACUUGAAAUGGCUGAGUUUGAACCGUCACUAUCUACCCAAUGGACAGGACGAACAUUGGAGUAUUGAUUCGGCAAUUUAUUAUUAGUAUUAUUAUUUCUGCUUUUCCCAGCAUAGACUGUCGCAUAUGUAUAUCUAUAUCCCAGUCAUUGAAAUAUUUUUAAGAUUUUGACGUCACUCGCACAAUUGCACAAGGAAGCGUGCACGGAUGAUUUGUACUGAAAUCCAUAACACCAUCUCACGAAAAGGAUGUCUUCAAUGAGACAAUACCUUGAAACUAAAGGACUUGUUGAGCCAGGCCUUCCAACCAGAUGCCUUGUGGGCUAUCAUCUCUGACCUCCCUUCUGUCAUCUGUGGCUGCCCUUGCUUCUUGCACAGCACAAAGCUUCUUCCCCCUCCUGAUCCUAUCGGCUCCCAUGGAUUCAUAGGCAUUAUGCCAUUCAUUUGCCACAGAAAGCAAGAACCUUGGACUAAUGAGCUUUUAAUCAAUGAGUUUGAAUUGGAGCCGUCAGAACCAGCAUUUGCACAGUAGAGAAGGAAGUUGUUGACAUCAGAGCCAAGAGCAGGAAGGCGACCUUCUCGAGAAUAAGUCUUCAAAGCAGUGUCAAUGACCCCAGCAACAGGAUCAUCUUCAUUAACAACAAACCUUAUAGGCCCUGCACUUCCAAGAACAUUGAUAGUUAUCAAGAACCUGUUCUUCCUGUCAUCACCCUUCUUUUUUUGCCUGUGCAACAUCAAUUUCUCACUUACACUUCUCUUCAUCUUUUCUGAUUCUAGCUGGAUCUUCGAAAAAACGAAAGAAAAGAAAAUUUCUUGAUUGAUUUAUCUGAUAUCAAGAGAGGCAAAGAGGAGGCAGCUAUUUAGGGGUCAAGCCCAAGGCAACGGUAGUACCAGGCUUGUUUGCAGGAGCCAAAGGAAGAGAGCGAGUGAAGAAAGCGCCCAGUUGGGUUAUCAUGAGAAAGAAGGAGGAGAAAGUGCAUCAAACCGUCGGUUGUUUCGACCAUUCAAAGAAAGGUGGAGUAUGGGAAGAGACAAAAGGGAUUAGGG